UUAAGUUCAGCGGGUAUCCCCGCCUGAUCCGAGGCCAAACCUUAGAAAAUGAGUUUCGAGGGCGGCCACCCACCGGGCACGCGGAGCGAGGAAUGAAAUUCUUGCUACGCUCGCGGCCGGAGGGGGGCGCCCAGAAGUUUGGGGCGUGAUUAGCGCAUCAUGGCCCAACAUCAAGCCAGGCUUGGGGGGGUGUAAUGGCG
rnacentral:misc_RNA from 1 species